UAGUGAGAUGCCUGAUUAAAGGAUUACUUUGAUAGGGUAAAUUAUGUACUAAGUACUCUCACU
rnacentral:tRNA from 1 species